AAACCAUCAAAACACAAGUCAAGAGGAGAGAAUAAGCUUCUAAUGUAACAUACCAGAUUUUGGUAUAAAAAUAAAAAUAAAUAAAAUAGUGUGAGAUACUAUUUUUAUUGGAUUUAUAGAAGUAAAACAUAAGUCAGAAGUGACUUGUGCUGAAAUCGGAAUGAAAACAGAAGAUCUAGAAUUUUCUGUUGGAAACGGGACAGAUAAAUUAGCAGAAAAAUGCACAGUCUCAAAAAAUUAUGAAAAUUAGAGGAUAAGUCAGAAAUAUUUUUAUGAGGUUAGAUUUAAAGUUUCAUAUUUUUCUGACACCCGUAGAGUGAGAAAUAAAAUCCAACAACUAUCUGAUAAAGAUUACAGUUCGGCACAGUUUUCGGUGACCAAAUGGGGUCGAAACUGAAAACUUAAAAUAUAUUCUUACUCAGUACGUUAAACUGAGCCUGCCUGUCAAAUUUGAGCUCAAACGGACAUUCAGAAGGGCUCCAACUGUUCCGAACUGUUAAAACUGCCUGAAGUGAAUAGUGUUUUGGAGUGU
rnacentral:lncRNA from 1 species